GCAUUGGCUUUUUUUGAAGCCACAUAUAUUCCACAUUGACAGUAGU
rfam:Biomphalaria glabrata isolate BB02 unplaced genomic scaffold LGTN_random_Scaffold7577, whole genome shotgun sequence.